rnacentral:rRNA from 1 species
GUGUCAGCCGCCGCGGUAAUACGUAGGGUGCGAGCGUUAAUCGGAAUUACUGGGCGUAAAGCGUGCGCAGGCGGUUUCGCAAGUCAGAUGUGAAAGCCCCGGGCUUAACCUGGGAACUGCGUUUGAAACUACGAAGCUAGAGUACGGCAGAGGGAGGUGGAAUUCCAAGUGUAGCAGUGAAAUGCGUAGAUAUUUGGAGGAACACCGAUGGCGAAGGCAGCCUCCUGGGCUAGUACUGACGCUCAUGCACGAAAGCGUGGGGAGCAAACAGGAUUAGAUACCCUCGUAGUCC